GGUGUGUUUCGCUACCAUUGCAUAUAUAUGUCUACGUAUACAUCUACAGAUUUGCCCUUUAACCCCGUUCGUGUUAUUGCCGCAUAUAGCUGCAGUAAUAGUAUUCGGGUACGUUCGGCCAUCGCGGUAUUCCGCCGAGAAAAAAAAAUAAACGGUUUGCGCGCGCGACAGUGUAUAUAUACGUCGUUAUGCAUAUUAUAGUAAUGCGAUCCAAAACGGAAACGUAUCUAUACAUAAUAUACGAAUGGGCAUUUAUUAUUGUCGGAUUCGACCGCGGGCACGUGGACCGGAAACGUCGUUUUCCAUCCUAGAAAUGUAUACGGGCUAAUCAAAAUUGUUAUCCGGCCACUGCGACAUUCGGACACCUCCGGACGGCCGGUCCGCCCGCAGUUCAAUGAAAGAGCGCCGAAAACCGCGGAUUUGCAUCGGCGCUCGUGGUAAUUGAUAUUUUUCCACCGGUGUUUUAUACACUAUACACAUUACUCGCCGGCUAUUAUAUUAUUAUACCUAUGCGCGCGCACAAUGCGGCGAGAUUACGGUAACCGAAACCGCGG